rnacentral:rRNA from 1 species
GGGGUCUCUGCUCCCUAGAGAUAGGGCUUUCCCCUUCGGGGGACAGAGUGACAGGUGGUGCAUGGUUGUCGUCAGCUCGUGUCGUGAGAUGUUGGGUUAAGUCCCGCAACGAGCGCAACCCUUGAUCUUAGUUGCCAGCAUUCAGUUGGGCACUCUAAGGUGACUGCCGGUGACAAACCGGAGGAAGGUGGGGAUGACGUCAAAUCAUCAUGCCCCUUAUGACCUGGGCUACACACGUGCUACAAUGGAUGGUACAAAGGGCUGCAAACCUGCGAAGGUAAGCGAAUCCCAUAAAGCCAUUCUCAGUUCGGAUUGCAGGCUGCAACUCGCCUGCAUGAAGCCGGAAUCGCUAGUAAUCGCGGAUCAGCAUGCCGCGGUGAAUACGUUCCCGGGUCUUGUAACACACCG